CUGGAGCCAGUAAUAUUGGAGAAGGGCGUGUCCUUCCAAGAAAAUGCACUGGAUUCCUAAUGAUGUUGGACGUUCCCUUUCCGGGUUGUCUCAAUCAAAGCUGGAGUAUCCAGAGAAAACCUACACAAGCAUGUGGAGACCCCUGGGACCCCUCGACUGCGAGGCAGAUGUGAAAUCAUCUUGGUGUGGCACAUUUGGACCAGCUGAUGUGCAUAAAGUCAAAGCAAGAAGCAGAGGAAGUCAUCGACCUGGACAAAGUGUACAAUCAUUGGAGAAGCGAGAAG